AGUGAACGCUGGCGGUAGGCCUAACACAUGCAAGUCGAACGGCAGCACAGGAGAGCUUGCUCUCUGGGUGGCGAGUGGCGGACGGGUGAGGAAUACAUCGGAAUCUACUCUGUCGUGGGGGAUAACGGAGGGAAACUUACGCUAAUACCGCAUACGACCUACGGGUGAAAGCAGGGGACCUUCGGGCCUUGCGCGUUUGAAUGAGCCGAUGUCGGAUUAGCUAGUUGGCGGGGUAAAGGCCCACCAAGGCGACGAUCCGUAGCUGGUCUGAGAGGAUGAGCAGCCACACUGGAACUGAGACACGGUCCAGACUCCUACGGGAGGCAGCAGUGGGGAAUAUUGGACAAUGGGCGCAAGCCUGAUCCAGCCAUACCGCGUGGGUGAAGAAGGCCUUCGGGUUGUAAAGCCCUUUUGUUGGGAAAGAAAUCCAGCUGGCUAAUACCCGGUUGGGAUGACGGUACCCAAAGAAUAAGCACCGGCUAACUUCGUGCCAGCCGCCGCUGUAA
rnacentral:rRNA from 1 species